UGCCGGGAUGUCCAAGCAGUCUCCUGUUGAUGGACCAUAUAGGCCUAUCUUUCGGCUGGCUUGUUAUACUGUAGUGAACAGCCGGUGAUAGCAGGGACGCUGGGGGUCAGUCACAGCUGAAGGUGCUGAGAGAAGCAGGUAAUGUGCAGCUGCUGCUGCUGAAUACGGUACUGUGAGAGCAGUUGGACUGAAGCAAAAGACUAAACAAGCUGUGGGCUGUUAAACCAAAACAAUGAGCUGAAAGACGCUAUGAAACUCCAUAAAGGAUUCUUGUGCAAAAACACUCUUGUGGUCCUAGCAGGGCUUUCUAUGAGACAGCAAGGCUAUAUAUCAUGCUUACCCGACCUGCCAUCCAGCAUGGGGGAGAAAUGUGCGGCAGUAACAUGCUGGACCAGAGGCUCUCUCUCACACACAGACAAGACAGACAGUCAGGCUGGCUGUGGAACUUUGGACUCUUGGUUUAAACGGUGAUAAAAAGAAGAGGAUCUCGACCAGCUGGGAGAAGCCAAGCUGGGAAAGCAAGAGGCGUUGUCGUCGAGUAUUUUUUGUUGCUUGCUGAAAAUAUGUGUGUGUGAGUUGGCUGAAUAAA